rnacentral:lncRNA from 1 species
CGGAACCCGCCGAGUACAGAAAUCGCCUAAUCUCGAGCUCUAUGUAACAAAAUUCACCAAUUCAGUCCAGAAAUUGCAGCAGUGAGGUACAACAGGGAUUCGACCAAGCUAACCUUCCCCAAAAUUCACAAGUAAGGGCUUCGUGGAUUCCUCUCGCAGUCCCGAAUCCAACGAACCAAGCCUCGUCGAAAUCCGAUGC